CUGCUCCUCCUUACCUGUUCCACACCUGCUCCUCCAUACCUGGCCCACAACUGCUCCUCCUUACAAGGCCACAACUGUAACUCCUUACCUGGUCCACAACUUCUCCUUCUUACCUGGUAUACACCUGUUCCGUCAUACCUAGCCCACACCUGGUCCUCCUAACCUGCUCUACACUUGCUUUUCCUUACCAGGCCCACAACUGCUCCCCAUUUCUAGGCCGACACCUGCUCCCCUUUACCUGGCUCACACCUGCUCCUCAUUACCAGGCCCACACCUUCUCCUCUUUACCUGGUCCGCACCUGUUCCUUGUAACCUGGCCUACACCUGCUCCUCCUUAGCUGGUCCUCACCUGCUUCCCCGGGUUCCUGCUCACCUGGGCAUCCUGCGAUUCUAGCCACUGGGAACACUGUCUUCCUCCAGAAGAGAAACACCAAGAAGCACCCAAGCUACAGGUGCAUUCACACCCCUGAACCUCACUUCAUGUGGCUCCUUCCAUCCGGGUCUCCCCUCACAUUGAGCCUCCUGUCUCUUAGGGAAGUUUGACCCAGUCAAGGCCUGGAAAAUUACCAGCUUCUGUGGGAACUGUCUUUCCUGCAGACCUCUGCAACUUUAUUUAGAAGACUUUUGGCACUGGCCUUAUUACCCCCGUCACGAGUGGGGACAAGGAGCAGGCUGCUAACUCCCAGGCUUUGUCUAAGCCAAAAACACGCAAAGGGAGAUGCCUGAAAACAAAGGAAUAUAAGUAUUUUCACAUAAAAACUGUUUCAUGGCUCUCGAAACUUGUCACCUUCUUUGAGUGUAGAAGUCAGGUUUGCAGUGGAUUUUCACUGGGAGGAUUUUGCAAGGUCAUUUUCUUCGAGGGAGGUUUUGUGUUUUGGGAAGGGCUGUCCCCUCUUUAAGUCCUGUUAGGGGACCCCCAGUGUAGAGAGACUGGGAACCCGUCUUGGCUCAGUGCCAGCCCGGCGGCGCCAUCCCGCCCAGCUGUCUUCUCUGCCUUUGGGGGUUGGCGACAAACACCGCCAGCCAGACUCAUGAAGAAUCAGAGGGACCCUCAGACACACCUGCUCCCCAAGGACAGGUGCGCUGCCUGCGGCCAGCCCUCCCUGAGCAGGGCCGGGGAGGAUUUUAAUUAUUACUAAUGUAUUUGCCAACGUUUUCAACUUAAAGAGAGCUUAGAAUAUUUUAUUAUCUAAAAAUUAUGCAAAAUCCAUGGGCUCUGUAGGAGUUUCCUUCUAGUUGUAGCAGAAAGAACUUCCCCACUUUACACUCUGAAAGCACAAUGUGGGGCCGCACGGUCCACUGAGGUUGCACGUAGCCCGUCCUCUCACUUAGCAUUCGGGUUCCGUAAGCGCGCUGGGAGGACUGAAUCGUCACACUCACCUUGGCAUGCUCUACCCGGCACCAAGAAUGUUGUUAGGUUGUUUUUUUAAAAACGAAAUACCUACUGAUUUUUAAUUUUCAGAGGAAAGCAAUUUCCACUGUGACCGUUAGACAAUAUUUGCAGAUUUAGGAGCGUUUUUCAGAAAUAAAUGGACGAGAACCUCUAGCUCAGUGAGAACAGAGAUAAGGGGUUGUAAUGCAGUAUUAACUUAUUUGUUUCUGCAGUAUUUGAAUUCAUCGCUUGGUGCACAGAAGGAAUGAGUAGCUGCUGUACUGUCAUAAAUUGUGCCACAUAAAAUGAUAAACCAAUUCUGAGAGCAGCGGAGAGCCUGACACCUGGUCAAGGAGAGAGUGCGCCGUGCGUUUCCCGCCGAGGUUGAUAAACAGCCGAGCUUCUUCCACGCUGAGCCUCCAGUCCCCGAGGAGCAGCAAGCCAGUGCCAGUCCCGUGGCUGACGGAGGGACAUAUGUAGUAUGGGCACAAACGUAGUACAGUCACACACGCACCAGUAGCACGUGUGUGUCGUGUGCUAUACGCCCACGACGCAAUCCGCGCAUAUAGGCACACGCGGUCCAGCGUCUCUGUGCCUGUGAGGACUGAGCCCACUUCCCAGUGGGCACCUUGUGUCCAGCAAACUCACGGCCACUGCGACGCCGCCCCUCAGAGCAAGCUCUGCCUCAUUCUCUCACUCCAGCCGGCCCGGAGCCGGCAGAAAGGACACAGACCACAUUGGCAUUCUGAAACGAAAACGCCGUCUUCCAGCCACAGCAGUCUCGGGGACGAACGCAACAGCGGCACAAACUCCCAGCGUCCCCGCCCUGAAACAGACCCGGAGGGCUUUGCUCACACAAGUGUGCUCCAGACAGCAUGACAGAAGUACUCUGCCACCGCAGUUAAUGGAUUUAUCAAAUACCUUAUUUCAUGCUUUCUGCUUUUGAUUUAUGAAUUUUGAUCCUGGAGACAAGGACCCUCCAACGAGUCAUUACUUAUGCAAUAAUAUACUAACGCAGUGCCACGCAGCCGCGCAUGUGUAAUCCGGUCCCACGUGUCUCCUGGGUUGUGUUUCAAGGAACCAAACGGUUUUCUGAACUGCAGGCAGGAGGCUGCUCACACGGGCUAAGCCACAAGAUGACGAGGUCUUGGGGACAUCCCACAGGCACCACAUCGCUGUAGUGACGCACAGUCAUCAGUACUGGUGACAACGCUUUAAUAGAAUGAGCAUAGACACGUUCCGAAGUCGGGAAAAAACGGAAAGUACAAGUAUGCAUAACACACAGAAAGUUUCCUGGUGCAGUGGUGGCCAGGCUAAUAAAAUCUUAAUUUCACUACAACCUUUAAGUCAGUAGCUUUUUAUUCUUGGCAAAAGAAGUGUCCAAAUCCGAAGGUUAAAAGUGAGAGACGUUGACUGCUGUAUCCCACGAUGGCAGCCUUCACAGUGCACCUUCUUUGAACAUGCGAGUGUUGGCUAUGAGGGAUUCUGUUAAGUUCCUUGUCAGACUCAGUUCUGCUCCCAGAACCCACAAGAUACUGUGUUUUGUUUUGUUUCAAACCGACACAUAAUAUGAUACAUAUUCAGGGGCCAAGUGUGAUGUUUCCAUACCCGUAUACAAUGUGUCAUGGUCACAUGGGGUGUGUAGGGGUUCCAUGCCUCGCACGUUUAUCAUUUAUCAGUGGCGAGAGCACUGAAAAAUCUCUCUUCUCGCUGUUUUGCCACGCGCAGUAAAUAUGGUGAGCCGCCGUCUCCCCCUGCACAGUGGAGAACUUCGGACCUUAUGCCGGCGCAGACCUGCGACUUGGCACCGUGGCCCACUCUUUCUCCACGGUCUCCUCCCAGCCCCGGCCUCCGGCUCUGCUCUGCCUCUGCGAGCCCAGCUUCUGGGGGACAUGCCGUGAGCGUCUCCUGUCGCUGGCUCAUGGCACCUGGCAUAAUGUCCUCCUGGGUGAUCCGUGUUGAUGCAAACGACAGGACUUCAUACUUUUUUUUACGGCCGAGUAGUAACCCAUCGUGUGCACGCACCACACUUUCUUUAUCCACGCGUCUGUGGAUUGACACGGGCUGAUUCCGUAUCUUGGCUAUUGUGAAUAGUGGUGCAGAAAACACGGGGUGCGGCUGUCUUUUUAACAUAUUGAUGUCAUUUUAUUUGGGUAUAAGCCCAGCUAUGAAAUGGUGGGGUCAUGUGGUAGUUCCAGUUUUAAUUUUUUGAGGAACUUCCAAACUGUUUUUUCACAACAGCCGCACUAAUUUACAUUCCCACCUGCAGUGCCUUAGAGUUCCCCUUUCUUUACAUCCACACCAGCAUUUGUUUGUUGUGUGGUUUUUUAUUUUUUGGUCUUUUUAAUGACAGCUCUUUUCAUUUGGUAAUAUGGUAUCUCGUUGUGCUUUUGAUUUGCAUUUCCCUGAUGAUUAGUGAUGUUGAGCAUUUUUUCAAAUGCCAGUUGGCCAUUUGUAGUCUGCUUUUGAGAAAUGUCUAUUCAAGUCUUUUGCCUUUUUUUUUCUUCCUGAUUCAGUUGUUUGAAUUCCUUAUCUAUUUUGCGCAUUAACCUCUUUUUAGAUACAUAGUUUACAAAUAUAUUCUCCCGUUCUCUAGGUUGACUCCUUCCACAUCUGGGGCGUCUCCACGUUCGGGGCUUCCCCUCUGGGGUCCUCACUGUCUCCUGCCCUCCGGGGCAGGAAGGGUGGACCAGGUAAGGCCCACCUGGACCAGCAGGUGUGGGACCCUGACGCAGAGGGGCUGACAAGGGCUGGGCCCUAAGUACAGCGGAGGCUCCCGGCAGGCCCAGCCCGCGUUGCCUUACAGACCUGCGAGAGGAAGUCGAGGAGAGACGUGGUCCCUGCCGCCACCCCACAGCCGGGCCGCACGGGCGGAUGGCACUCGCAGCGGAGGGCUGUGCCGGCCUUGGGGCUUGGCUUAGCAUGGAGGUAAGUGUCGAGCGCGGAGAGCACCUUCUGUGGGUGCAGCAGGUGAGAAAGGCCACAGGUGGAUACACUGACCCAUGUCACCUGCCUGGGGGAAGUGGCCCCCAGAGAGCAGGUGGAAGACGUCCACGCCGCGUCUGGCUGUGUCUGGAUUCUGCCCUGCUCCGUUCCGCAUGCUCUUGCUGGAGUUUACUCCGUUAGUUUUUCCUUUAGGCUUCAGGGUCCCGCUGGUUCUCUCAAACCCCAAGGUCACCUCCAGCUUUAGACAAGACACAGCGACGCACGCAAUUGCCGAGGUGGAGUUCUCACCUGGGCUUUUGCCGGGAGCCUCGUCUCAGGUUCGGUUCCCCGAUAUCGCCGGUGUGGAAGGGAUGCCCCAAAGCUACUCCACAGCCAGGUAUAGACGGAUUCUCUGAAGAACUUGACCAGGCGAACCAGGUUCCUGGGCUGAUGUACAAGCCACCUGCCCACCUGCGUGUUUGCUUUUUGUGCGGCCUCGAUCUGUCCUGCCCCUCAGCAGCACCAUGGAGAGCACCCGCAGGGCCCGCGCCAGGUGCACACCGGCCUGUGGGGCUGCCCUGUGUGUUGGGCUCCACGCCAAUCCACUCACUUAUCUGCCAGGGUGAUUUUUUUCAAGUGAUUAUUCUUUUAAGGAGCAAAGGCAUGAACUCCUGUCAAAAACUGGGGACCGGUGACCACACUUUAUGGUCUCUGGGUGACCAGUGGGAAACGAAGACACUUUGCUGUUACCCAGCGGAGCGGCCUUGAGGCUGGAGGCGGUGUCUGUGUGCAGCUUGACUCCUCAUCCAGAUCGCAAACAGCUUCCAGAUGCUUCCAUCCCAACCUGCUCGGGAAUUCCCGCCCUCCACAGAUGCCUCUCCAUGAGGGGGUCUGUCUCUAAGUAAGACGGGGUGGGUGUUACUAAUCAUUCGUCUCCAAUCUUCCUGAUGGGACUUUUAUUAAUAAACACGUUUCAUCUGUCGCUUUGAUUGGGAGGGAUUUAAUCGUGAGUCGUGUGAGAGGAGGAGCUCGGAGGCCGGGCUGUUUGCUGUCUGCUGUGCCCAGCCCCCAGGCGCGCCGCCGGGGAGGAAACGCAGGACAGAUGCCGCCGUGUCAGCUCUGCCUGGCUCAGGCCCCCGGGCAGUGAGGUCGACGGCUGAGGGCCCCCGAGGCCCCCGGCCCUGGACACAGGACGGUCCGGAGCGUGUUCUCGAAGCAGCGCCCACCUGCCUGGGUGCUCCGUGUCCUGGGAUGGCAGGGGAUGGGCUGGCACUGGCUGGUGGUCCUGGGCCCCCUCCCCAGAGCCGUGCCUGUCCCCUGAGGACCGCCAGGACUCAGAGCUUCACCUCCAGUCACCUCUCGUUUGGGUGUGAGGUGUUUGAAAAACCUCCCCUUGGAAUGCAGAACACGUGUGCUUCCCUUUUCUUUCUUCCCGCUCCAGGCCCUGAGUUUGGCGAUUCCGACUUGCUGCUCAAGGAGGCACCGUGGGACGUGGUGGUGCUCAGGUGGGAGCAGGGAAGGGUGCCGAACGGACAGAGGACGGACGCGUCCCAGCACGUACAGUCCUUUCCCCGGGCAGCUCUUGCCCCUGUCUCCACCCCAGCCACCCGCGGGCUUCCAGCGGCUGUGCAGCCUCCUGGUUCUGAGGAAAGGAGCUGUGGUCAGAAGCAAACUCCCCAGACUCUCCCCUCGCACCUCGGGACGCGCGGUUCUCCCGAUCGAACCUUCCUCCGGCCCCACCAAGCCCUCCUCCCCUCGGCUGGUCCCUCUCCCUGCCCUGUUCCCCACUGACCUCGGCACUGGCCUCUCCCGCCGGCCCCAGCAUCUCAGCAGCAGGACCAGAGGAGCCCCAGGUUCGGCUCCUGAGCCAGACCGUCGUUCAUUCCAAAGGGCAUCCAUGGUGUCAUCCAGAUUGUGCUAAAGCACAGAGCCCAGGCCACCGGUCUGUGAGGCCGCUCUUAUGCCUGGGAUGGCCACACAGCCAGGGGACUCUGCUGCUGGUCCACACACCCACCCGAGGGCCGAGCCACCAGCUGCUCCCAAACGCUCUGCCUUUGGUCUCUGUCACCCCACGGCAGGGGCUGAGCCCCUCUCUUCUGCGCACCUGUCCCCUCCCCUCGGUCGAGCCUCUGUCCCCAGCCCUCGGCAGGCACGGGAAUGACUGUUGUCCACUUACCUCUUUUCUUUCCUGCCUUUUACAUAUUCUCUUGUCACAUCGAAUUAGUCGACUCUCACAGAUCACGGGCUUCUUAAGGGCAGAGUCCGUGCCCAGAGCCUGAUAACUCCGAAGCAAACGUCUGUCGGGUAAUCGCGCCUGACAGCGCGGGGUCUCCGGGAGGUUAACUGGCUCGCCCGAGACCCUGGAACGGAGGGAGGACCAGGAGAAGCCCAGGUCUCCUGCCCCGGGUCCCCAGCCGUGCGCCCCGCCCCACCUGCCCAGAUCUCUGUGUCACCCCCACUUUAUAAAAGAUUAAAACUACCUGUCACA